GAUGAACGCUAGCUACAGGCUUAACACAUGCAAGUCGAGGGGCAGCGGGGAGGAUGCUUGCAUUCUCCGCCGGCGACCGGCGCACGGGUGAGUAACGCGUAUCGGACCUGCCUCAUACCCGGGAACAGCCUUGCGAAAGUAAGAUUAAUGCCCGAUGUUCCGCAGAUGCCGCAUGGUGUCUUCGGCAAAGUAUUUUUUCGGAUGAGAUGGCGAUGCGUCCCAUUAGCUUGUUGGCGGGGUAACGCCCACCAAGGCGACGAUGGGUAGGGGUUCUGAGAGGAAGGUCCCCCCA
rnacentral:rRNA from 1 species